rnacentral:rRNA from 1 species
AUGGAUGAUGAUAUUUAUAUGAUGGUGGAUACUCCCUCUGAGACCAGUCAAGAUUUCUUAUCAAUUUUUACCAGUGAUACGGAGGAUCAAAGGACUUCUUCAUGUCGCAAUGAUGUACAGAGCUCAAAUAUGAUGUCACAAAUACUACUAUCAAAUUCUGAGAAUGUUCCACCAGGUAAAGAAGCCAAUAUUAAUGACCAAAUUGGUGAGUUUACAUUUGAGGGAACAUCGCCCUCUUCAGUAUGGGGGAUGAUUUCUUCUGCUAUGGUGGAAGCAUGUGAAAAAAUGUAUAACGAACAUGGGCAUCUGGUAUUCUCAUGCACACACAGCAGCGAAAAUUAUUUAUUAAACAAGGGGAGGGGAUGUCAGAACUUUGAUGGUCCUUACGCUCCCUUAACUAGAUUUUGCUCAUCCAAUGGCCCCAGUAUACCACGAGUUACAGAAAAGAAGAAUGAUGUGGAAUCUACUUAUACAUUACUGAAGAAUUGGUUAUGCCAUGAUAGAAUUGGGCUUGAUUUGGAAUUUGUUCAAGAAAUUGUGGAGUCUCUUCCUAGAUCCAGGUCUUGCAUAAACUACCAGUUCUUGUGCAAUAGGGCAGAAUUUCGUUCUUCUGUAACAGUUGCAAGUGGUUUACUUUUAUCUGUGCAUAAAGAUGGUCAAAGUAAUGUAGAUACACCAUAUGGUAGACAUGGUGGGGUGACUGGGCUACACGAUCCUGCUCAGCCCAGCGGUUCUAGCAUCCGCAAGCUACCUCCGGGGCGUCCUAUUAGCCAUAAGCUUCAACCAGAAUCGGCGGCAGAUGUUUUCCAGGUAGCUCUUUACAUAUCUUUCACUGUUUCUACUAUUUGA